CCCGAGGCGGGGGCCUAAUACAUGCAAGUCGAGCGGGAACAGAUGGGAGCUUGCUCCCUGAUGUUAGCGGCGGACGGGUGAGUAACACGUGGGUAACCUGCCUGUAAGACUGGGAUAACUCCGGGAAACCGGGGCUAAUACCGGAUGGUUGUUUGAACCGCAUGGUUCAAACAUAAAAGGUGGCUUCGGCUACCACUUACAGAUGGACCCGCGGCGCAUUAGCUAGUUGGUGAGGUAAUGGCUCACCAAGGCAACGAUGCGUAGCCGACCUGAGAGGGUGAUCGGCCACACUGGGACUGAGACACGGCCCAGACUCCUACGGGAGGCAGCAGUAGGGAAUCUUCCGCAAUGGACGAAAGUCUGACGGAGCAACGCCGCGUGAGUGAUGAAGGUUUUCGGAUCGUAAAGCUCUGUUGUUAGGGAAGAACAAGUACCGUUCGAAUAGGGCGGUACCUUGACGGUACCUAACCAGAAAGCCACGGCUAACUACGUGCCAGCAGCCGCGGUAAUACGUAGGUGGCAAGCGUUGUCCGGAAUUAUUGGGCGUAAAGGGCUCGCAGGCGGUUUCUUAAGUCUGAUGUGAAAGCCCCCGGCUCAACCGGGGAGGGUCAUUGGAAACUGGGGAACUUGAGUGCAGAAGAGGAGAGUGGAAUUCCACGUGUAGCGGUGAAAUGCGUAGAA
rnacentral:rRNA from 1 species